AAAAAAAAAAAAAAAGAAAGAAACUCAAUUUUUCUUCGAUCCAAAUUUUCAACCAAUAGGAAUCAACACAAUUGAUAAAAUGUUACAAAGUAAAUUAUCAUUCAUUCAAUCCAGACAAUUUUCAAUGCAAGAGUGUUAACAUAUUGACUUAAAUGAAGAAGGUAAAACUCUAACAUAAGUGGAGCAAAGAAUCAAAAUCCAACAUUUUCAAGGUGCAUUUUACUACAUCAACAAAAUGAAAGUAGAAAGCAACUAUUGUUACCGUAUAUUCAAAUUCAAGAAAGGCAACAGGUAUGAGACAUUUAGGCAGCAUUUGCAAAAAAAGAAUGCAUUAGAGGUGGGGAUCGACAUAACACAGAUCCAAAUUAGCCAAUUCGGGCUUUCUCAACCUACCUAAAUCUUCAAACUUUUCAAUCACAAAUAAAGAAGAACUAGUAAGUUUAGUAUCCAUUGAAGACUUCUCAUUUUCUUUUGGGGAAAAAAUGCAAUUUCAAAAUCAUUGCCAAAAUGCUUUAAAAUCAACGAUUUAAAAAGUUCAAAAAGUACAAAAUUAAUUCAAGAAUGUAAAAAAGAUUUACAAAAUUUAUUGGGAGGGUAGAAACCCCAUAUAUCUACAUAUUUCAAUAUAAAGACUAACCAUUGGCAAAGUAAUUGUUACAUGUAACUUAUAAUAGGAUUGAUAAAGAGUUUUAGCAUUUAGAGCUUUUAAUAAUAGGCAUUCUGCAUAAGAUAUUGCUAAAUUGAUAAAAAGAAAUACAUUACAUAAUGCAACAGCAAUAGCAACUAGACACUUAAAAUUUUUUCAUUGGUUUUUUUAUAAUGCAAUGGCAAAUACUAUAUCCAUAUCAGAACUAAAAAGAGCAUGACAACUAAUUUGUGGUGAUAAAUUUCUUUUAUAUCAGAUAUACAUUCCAUAUUUUAAAUAUGUAUUCAAGAUGCAAUAAGAUCAUUAAAUUCUUAUAUUCAACCAAUAAAAAAUGUCCUAAUUAUUUGUGGAUGCAUAGUAGUUUCAUGAAAGAUUUGAAAAGUUCUCAUCAUAAUCAUAACAUGCGCCCCAGAAAAUUUUCUAAAAAAUGUACUUACAUGAUAAAAUUCUACAUAUAAAAUACUUGAGAAAACAUAAGAAAAUAAAAAUUUGGUGUAUGCUUUUGUUAAUAAGUGUUUGCUUACAAUUGAUUGUUUCCUAUGUAAUUGCAGUAUUUAGACACACAAAAAAAAACUAGACCAAACAUAAGAAUAUAAAAAUUUGGUGUAUGUUUUUUUGAUAAGCGUUUGCCUACAAUUGAUUAUAACUUAUGUAAUUGCGGUGUCUACACACAGACAAACACACGAACUCACGGACAUGUACAGGCACACGUGUGCGCGCACGUACACACACACACACGCACGCAUAUAUAUAUAUAUAUAUA
rnacentral:misc_RNA from 1 species